rnacentral:lncRNA from 1 species
CCGGGCCGGGGCCGGGGCUGGGCUCCGGGCCGGGUCUGGGCUCCGGGCCGGGGCCGGGGCUGGGCUCCGGGCCGGGGCUGGGCUCCGGGCCGGGGCCGGGGCUGGGCUCCGGGCUGGAUCUGGGCUCUGGGCCGGGUCUGCGCUCCGGGCCGGGGCCGGGUCUGCGCUUUUGGCCGGGAGUGGAUUUGUGGUUCUGUUGCUUCUGCUGCUGCGGUUGUUUGUUUGGUUUAUUAUACCUUCUGGUAAAGAACUGUUAUUCCUUUCCCGUAUCUUUGCCUGAAAGCCCAAUAAUUUUGCAGUUCUAAUACUUUGGGAGGAAGGUGGUCACAUUUUGGAUUCCACGGCAGGUUGCCGCUUUCCUUGGCAGACAUCUGUCUUUCAAACCGAGACAGAGAUUUUCUCUGUCUCAAGACGGAUGAAGUUUAUUUUAGUGUACUUCCUCUUUUCCAAAUACAGAAUCAGCACAACCUAUGGCCUGCCUGACAGAGGCACAGAAUGCACAGCUGAAUGGUGUUCCCUGGGACCCCACUGUCUUCUGAAACUGAAGCUCAUCCUUCUCACUGCAGAGGAAAUAAUUACUCACAACAGCAGGCAGCAAAAAUCUCUUCAUGGGGUUCAUCACACACACUAUUCUUGCAACUGUGGACCUCUGAGGGCUGGAAUUACUCCUAUACACAGAAGAACAUGGCUCUGAAAAGAGGGCAUGAAGACAACAGAAAUGAUUUGUCUCUUUACCAGCUAAGAAGUGGCUGUGGCUGUGAGACACAAAACCUGUGAUGAUGAUGAGCAAGGCCUCUCUUACAAACACAUAGUGCUGUGAUAGCCCUAUUUGGGCACUUGAUGGUAAUUGCCACUAAUGCUCCACUGUGCUCCUUCGUUGUCCUUUGGGCAGGAGUGUCCUGGUUUGUAAGAUAAGCUUGUAUUCUAUUUGCCAUCUGUUGGAGGUUGGGCAGGUUUGUUAUCUCUUCCAAGAACAAUGGUUUGCUCCGAAGAGGUAAUAGUUUGUUAAUGAGCCAUUGACUGACUCACUGCAGGCCUGGUAACGUAACACCAUCCCAUUGUGAGAUGCUCCACCCAGAGGGGGAAGCCAAGCACUCUUUUAUGGGAUAAAGGGGUACCUUUUGGGAGACAGGGCAGCUCUCUCUCUCUUCUGCGGGAUUCCCAGAGAAGCAGCUCCUUCGGCGGGAUUCCCAGAGAAACGGCCGGAGUGCGGUAAGGCGGCGGCGGCGGAGCUCAGAGGCGGCCCCGGCGCAGAGGAAGACCGGCCCCAACUGCCACCAGAUCUUCAGAGAAAACUAUACCCUUCAAAAGAUCACCACUUCAGCUGCAAUUCAUCAGCUACUGCAAGAGGAGCAGCUGUCAUUUCAACUGGACUGCUACCAACACCCCGAAUCCUCAGGGUGUCAGGUUGUGGACUUUAUCACUAGUUUUUUGUUUGUACCAAAUGCAUUUGCCUUUUAAAAUUGUUAUCUAGUUUCUCCUAGUAAAGAAUUGUUACUCCCAUUCCCAUAUCUUUGCCUGAGAGCCUUUUAAUUUAAAAAUCCUGGUAAUUCGGAGGGAGGGGGUUUACCUUCUCCAUUGCACAGGAGGCUUUUGCCCUCCUUCACAGACUCCUGUCUUGUC